ACUCCUACGGGAGGCAGCAGUGGGGAAUAUUGCACAAUGGGGGAAACCCUGAUGCAGCCAUGCCGCGUGUGUGAAGAAGGCCUUCGGGUUGUAAAGCACUUUCAGUCGUGAGGAAGGUAGUGUAGUUAAUAGCUGCAUUAUUUGACGUUAGCGACAGAAGAAGCACCGGCUAACUCCGUGCCAGCAGCCGCGGUAAUACGGAGGGUGCGAGCGUUAAUCGGAAUUACUGGGCGUAAAGCGCAUGCAGGUGGUUUGUUAAGUCAGAUGUGAAAGCCCGGGGCUCAACCUCGGAAUAGCAUUUGAAACUGGCAGACUAGAGUACUGUAGAGGGGGGUAGAAUUUCAGGUGUAGCGGUGAAAUGCGUAGAGAUCUGAAGGAAUACCAGUGGCGAAGGCGGCCCCCUGGACAAAGACUGACGCUCAGAUGCGAAAGCGUGGGGAGCAAACAGGAUUAGAUACCCUGGUAGGAUAGCG
rnacentral:rRNA from 1 species